rnacentral:rRNA from 1 species
ACGGGAGGCAGCAGUGAGGAAUAUUGGUCAAUGGGCGGAAGCCUGAACCAGCCAAGUAGCGUGAGGGAAGACGGCCCUACGGGUUGUAAACCUCUUUUGCCCAGGAAUAAAAAGGACCACGCGUGGUCCCUUGCAGGUACUGGUUGAAUAAGGACCGGCUAAUUCCGUGCCAGCAGCCGCGGUAAUACGGAAGGUCCGAGCGUUAUCCGGAUUUAUUGGGUUUAAAGGGAGCGCAGGCGGAGAUGCAAGCCAGCCGUUAAAUAAUGGGGCUCAACCCCAUAGUGCGGUUGGAACUGCAUCCCUUGAGUGCACUAGAGGACGGUGGAACUCGUGGUGUAGCGGUGAAAUGCAUAGAUAUCACGAAGAACUCCGAUUGCGAAGGCAGCCGUCUGGGGUGUUACUGACGCUCAUGCUCGAAGGCGCGGGUAUCAAACAGGAUUAGAUACCCUGGUA